rnacentral:rRNA from 1 species
AUUUAUUAAUAAAUUAAUUUUAAUAUAUAUCGUAAUAUUUUUAUGAGUAUGUUAAAUUUUUAUAAUAAUAAUUUUGAUUAAAAUUAUAUUUAAAUAUUAAUAUUUUAGUAAAAUUUAUGAAAAAAUUUUUAUAAUAAUAGUUUAUAUAGUAAUGUGAAUGAAUAUAAAAAAAUAUAAAGAAUAAUUUUUAUUAAUUUACCUUUUGGAUCAGGGUUAAUUAAUUAUUUUUAUUUAAAUUAAAAUAAAUUCCCGAAUAUAAAAGAGCUAAUUUUAUAUAAUUAUUAUAGUAACAUAUAUAUAAUUAAUAUAGAGUUUGAAAUUAAAUGUUAUUCGAUUUUAUUUAUAUCUGGUUAUUUAUGAAUUGAAUUGAAUUCAAAUAUAAUAUAAUUUUUAUUUAUAUUUAUAAUAUUAUAAAAAUUAUAUUAUAUUAAUAUUUUAUGGGAUAAUCUAUAAAAUAAAAUUAUAAUUAAUUAAUUAAUUUUUAAAAUAUUAAUUUUAAAAUUAAUUAUUAUUUUGAAAAAUUUUAUAAAUUAUUUAUAAGUUUAAAAAAAUUUUGAAUUAAUUAAUAUAAUUUUUAAAUAAAAUAAUUUUUUUAAUAAUUGUAAAUAUAUAAUUAUGAUUAAAUUAGUAGUAUAAAAAUAUUUAAUAUAUAUAUAUAUAUAUAUAUAUAUAUAUAAGGAAUUCAGCAAAUAAUUAUAUUCAACUGUUUAACAAAAACAUUGCUUAUUGAAUAUUAAUUUUAAGUAAAUCUGCCCAAUGAAUAUAUUUUUAAUGGCUGCAGUAUAAUUAACUGUACUAAGGUAGCAUAAUAAAUUGUUUAUUAAAAGUAAACUAGAAUGAAAGAAUUAAUGAAAUAUAAACUGUCUCAAAUAUAUAAAAUGAAUUUAAUUUUUAAGUUAAAAUUCUUAAAUUUGAUUAUGGGACGAUAAGACCCUAUAGAAUUUUAUUCAAAAAUAUUUUAUUAUAUGUAGUUUUUAUAUAAAUAUAAUAUUUUUGAAUUUUGCUGGGAGGGUAAUAAAAUUUAAAAAACUUUUUAUUAUUUAAUUCUAUAAUUAUAGUAAAUUAAAUAAUCUAAUAAUAUUAAAAUUAAAAUAAAUUACCUUAGGGAUAACAGCGUAAUAUCUUUUUAUAAGAUCAUAUUAAUUAAGAUGAUUGCGACCUCGAUGUUGAAUUAAGAUAAAUUUUAAAAGCAAAAAUUUAAAAAUUAAGUCUGUUCGACUUUUAAAAUCUUACAUGAUUUGAGUUCAGAUCGACGUGAGUCAGAUCGGUUUCUAUCUAUAAUUAAAUAAAAAUUUUCUGUACGAAAGGAUCAAAAUUUUUAAAUAAUUUAUUUUAUAUUAAUAAAUAAAUUU